UACGUAGGGUGCGAGCGUUGUCCGGAAUUAUUGGGCGUAAAGAGCUUGUAGGCGGUCUGUCGCGUCUGCUGUGAAAAUCCGGGGCUCAACCCCGGACUUGCAGUGGGUACGGGCAGACUAGAGUGUGGUAGGGGAGACUGGAAUUCCUGGUGUAGCGGUGAAAUGCGCAGAUAUCAGGAGGAACACCGGUGCGAAGGCGGGUCUCUGGGCCAUAACUGACGCUGAGGAGCGAAAGCGUGGGGGAGCGAACAGG
rnacentral:rRNA from 1 species